CAGCCGCCGCGGUAAAACGAAGGGGGCUAGCGUUGCUCGGAAUGACUGGGCGUAAAGGGCGCGUAGGCGGCGAUCAAAGUCAGGCGUGAAAUUCCUGGGCUCAACCUGGGGGCUGCGCUUGAUACUUGGUUGCUUGAGUGGGGAAGAGGGUCGUGGAAUUCCCAGUGUAGAGGUGAAAUUCGUAGAUAUUGGGAAGAACACCGGUGGCGAAGGCGGCGACCUGGUCCUUGACUGACGCUGAGGCGCGAAAGCGUGGGGAGCAAACAGGAUUAGAUACCCCCGUAGUCCCUGUCUCUUAUAC
rnacentral:rRNA from 1 species